rnacentral:lncRNA from 1 species
UAGUGAUCACAGUGUUUAAGGGAAGUGAAGAGGUUUCACAAUCCUGAGAUAUUGAAAGCUAUAAAUCAAACUGGGAGGAGGCCUGGCUGUUUCAACACUCCUCACCCCAAAGAGACAGCACAGUGAGAAACACACAGGGCUUCUCAAGAAAUGAAACAACUCUUGAGAGUGUUAUAGCCACUAAUAUCUUUCCUUAAAUCCGGCUGUUCAGUUUCCCCCUUACUGACUUAUCUGCCUAACUAGUCAAACCAAACAAGCCACUGCUUGGGUCACUGAAGGUCUUGGGAUCCGAACAUCGCUGCAGAGAUUUCAAGGGAGGCUCACCCAACAACUUGAAAGAUGUCAAAUGAAUAUAAGAGAAUCGUUCUGUUGAAAGGACUUGAACCUCUCAGUAGUCAUCAUUUUAGCUUAUUUAAGUCAUUGCUGGCCAGUGAUUUAAAACUGGAGAGACACAUGCAGGAGCAAUACACCAAGGUCCAGAUUGCUGACAUGAUGGAAGAUGAAUUCCCAGAUGAUGCUGGAUUGGGCAAAUUCAUCAAAUUUUGUGAAGACUUACCAGCUCUUAGAAAACGUGCUGAAAUUCUUAAAAGAGAGAGAAUACAAGUAAGAGGAGAAACCCCACGGGAAAUAAAUAGGCGAGAACCAGGUCCGUCAAGACCUUCAUCAACUGCAAGCCAUAUGAUAGUGUCUGAAGGAUGGGAGACUUCCACAGCUCAGGCAGAGACCUCCACAGCUCAGGGAGAGCCUUCUACAGCUCAGAAAAGAAAAAGUAUGAGCGAAGGAAAGACUGAAGUGAAAAAGACCAAGGCAUCAGAGAGACCAGAUCAGCCUCCCUGUCCUGAAGAAGCCACAGCCAAGUGUCUGUCACCAAUACCCCAGACUUCGUCUUUGGCUCCAUGUAACUCUCCUUUGGCUA